GAUGUACUCCCUCUGUCCCGAAAUACUCGUCGAAGAGAUGGAUAAAAUUGGAUGUAUAUAUAACUAACACACGUCUAGAUACAUUCAUUUCUCCGACAAGUAUUUCCGGACGGAGGGAGUAGAAA
rfam:Triticum aestivum genome assembly, contig: Triticum_aestivum_CS42_TGACv1_scaffold_223009_3B